rnacentral:rRNA from 1 species
AUUGAACGCUGGCGGCAUGCCUUACACAUGCAAGUCGAACGGUAACGCGGGGGCAACCCUGGCGACGAGUGGCGAACGGGUGAGUAAUACAUCGGAACGUACCCAGUAGUGGGGGAUAGCUCGGCGAAAGCCGGAUUAAUACCGCAUACGACCUAUGGGUGAAAGCGGGGGAUCGCAAGACCUCGCGCUAUUGGAGCGGCCGAUGUCGGAUUAGCUAGUUGGUGAGGUAAAGGCUCACCAAGGCUACGAUCCGUAGCUGGUCUGAGAGGACGACCAGCCACACUGGGACUGAGACACGGCCCAGACUCCUACGGGAGGCAGCAGUGGGGAAUUUUGGACAAUGGGCGCAAGCCUGAUCCAGCCAUGCCGCGUGUGUGAAGAAGG